AUGUUGAACAAUUGGGAUAAACUCAGUUGUUGUAGUUCUUCAAAGAAUACCAUCUUUUCUUAAGAUUCUAGAUGAGAGCUUGUGAUAACAGAUAUGAUCUGAGUCUCUUUUAGUUUCAAUGUGUAUGUUGAGAGCACGACUUUAGAACUUUGUUGCUUAGUUUUCGUGAGGGUUGCUAACUUGCUAUGUAUGACCGGCUUCGUCGUCAGGGUUUCGGUCUUUUUAGUAUUUGAGUAAUGAGUAUCAUACUGAAUAAUUUGAGUAAUGAGUAUCAUACUGAAUAGGGAAUGAC
rnacentral:lncRNA from 1 species